rnacentral:rRNA from 1 species
CCAUGCCGCGUGUAUGAAGAAGGCCUUACGGGUUGUAAAGUACUUUCAGCAGUGUAGGAAGGUGGGUAAUGUUAAUAGCAUAUUCAUUUGACGUUAGCUGCAGAAGAAGCACCGGCUAACUCCGUGCCAGCAGCCGCGGUAAUACGGAGGGUGCGAGCGUUAAUCGGAAUUACUGGGCGUAAAGCGCAUGCAGGUGGUUUGUUAAGUCAGAUGUGAAAGCCCGGGGCUCAACCUCGGAAUUGCAUUUUGAAACUGGCAAACUAGAGUACUGUAGAGGGGGUAGAAUUUCAGGUGUAGCGGUGAAAUGCGUAGAGAUCUGAAGGAAUACCGGUGGCGAAGGCGGCCCCCUGGACAGAUACUGACACUCAGAUGCGAAAGCGUGGGGAGCAAACAGGAUUAGAUACCCUCGUAG